GGAAGGCCACAAAUGACCUGCAGAGAGGCCUAACUGGGAGCACCUAGGCAUAGGAAUUUCACAUCAGGAUCUGCGAAACCCUGGGACUACGGCAUAGUCCGGGCUAGCCUGGGUCUUCUGCACAGAGCAGACAAAGCCUCCUUCCUGGGUACGGGGCUGAUUCUUCAGAAUAGCACGAGACCCGUCUCCACUGACUUGAGUCUACCGAGAAAGGCUGGUGGAGGGCAUCUUUCAGAGGGAGUUGAGGGUUAUUCACUCCGGCCUUCCUUUUUGUCCCUUUAUUAUGCUAAGAAAUGUUUCUAGAAUGGCCUGCUGGUCAUCAACAAGCUGGUUCUUCCUCUAAUAGUCCCUGUAUACCCGAUGACCAUUCUCCACUCCACCCACACGUAUCACCCCUCGCCUGUGGGCGGAGCCCCACUUGGGGCCCCAGGUGCUUGCCUAGAAGGCUAAGCCAGUGGCGGCUGGCUUAUAUUCUUGGAUAUGGCAGGUUGAAGAGUGACAAGUGAUCCAGUCUUACUUGUGGAAUCUGGACACGGCUGCUGCUGAGAACUUCUGGGCAGGGUCUCACACCGUCCAGUCUGGCCUGAAACUCAGCCCUGAGGAUUGGGAUUACAGAGUGUGCGAUGCUGGGCAUACAAGAGUCUACAAAACACGAUGAUCCCCGCUCCAAGAAGCGUACAGCCUGACCGUCACACCAGUCAUGAUAGUGAUCCCCUCUGUGUGCAUGCUGUUCAGGAAAAGCAUGGCACUCACCAGAUUGCCUUGGUACCUGUGUGGAGAGUGUGCCAGGCCCAGGAAGGAAUGCAGGGCAACAAGUACAGAGGACAGUGCGGUUGCUAUGGGAGACAGAAGGGUGCCAUGGCUGGGAAACGAAGCGGAAGGACCGGA